GGGGAGAUGCUGGAGUGGUUGAACAGGCGGUCCUGGAAAGACCGUAGGCCGUUUCACGCGGUCUCCGGGGUUCGAAUCCCCGUCUCCCCG
rnacentral:tRNA from 1 species